rnacentral:rRNA from 1 species
CAAUAGCGUAUAUUAAAGCUGUUGCGGUUAAAAAGCUCGUAGUUGGAUUUCUGUCAAGGACAACUGGUCCGCCCUCCGGGUGAGCACAUAGUUUGGUCUUGGCAUCUUGCUGGAAACUGUUGCUGCGCUUGGUUGUGUGGUGCAGCUUUCAGCACUUUCACUUUGAGGAAAUUGGAGUGUUUCAAGCAGGCACAUGCCUUUGGACACAGUAGCAUGGAAUAAUUAGAUUGGGCUUUUGCUCCAACUUGUUGGUUCCUGGAGCAGAGGUGAGAAUCAAUGGGGAUUGUUGGGGGCAUCCGAAUUUAGCCGUCAGAGGUGAAAUUCUUGGAUCUGCUAAAGACGGACAACUGCGAAAGCGUUUGCCCAGGAUGUUUUCAUUGA